rnacentral:rRNA from 1 species
AGAGUUUGAUCCUGGCUCAGGAUGAACGCUAGCUACAGGCUUAACACAUGCAAGUCGAGGGGAAACGACAUCGAAAGCUUGCUUUUGAUGGGCGUCGACCGGCGCACGGGUGAGUAACGCGUAUCCAACCUGCCCAUCACUUGGGGAUAACCUUGCGAAAGUAAGACUAAUACCCAAUGACGUCUCUAGAAGACAUCUGAAAGAGAUUAAAGAUUUAUCGGUGAUGGAUGGGGAUGCGUCUGAUUAGCUUGUUGGCGGGGUAACGGCCACCAAGGCGACGAUCAGUAGGGGUUCUGAGAGGAAGGUCCCCCANAUUGGAACUGAGACACGGUCCAAAUCCUACUGGAGGCA